UACUGAAAGGCAGUAUAUAUUUCCCACCAUUACACGUUUUUGCGACCUCAUCUCUGAGAGCUGAAGAUGAAAACAUUAUAGAUUUUUGAGGCUACUUUCCAGACAGUUCAUCUGCACAAAAUUAAGCUUUGUAUGUUAAUUAGUAUGAAUUGCAUUUUGCAUGUUUUGCUCCUAAAAUACUUCUAAGUCGAGUUUUUGUAGAACGAUAUGUGUUCUGUCGUUUGGGUGACCAUUUCCAGGAAUUUUGUAUUCUUUUAGAAAUCAAUUUUCAGAGUUGCUAUUGGUUGAUUUUGGCACAAAACCAUGAAAUAGAAACAUGAAUUCCUUUUGUUGGCUAUUUGGAGGUGUAUGUUCAAGUAACUUAAAAUCCCACAGAUAUAAUCAAAAUAUACAAGAUCACCUGAUUAUGCAAAUCUUUAUGUGCCUCAGAAAUCUGACAUUUUGAGCUGUGAUUCAGAAUCAAAGUGAACAUUGAAAGAAAACAUCAAUGUUUUUUGAAAGUGAACAAUAAUGUGUAAUUUAUUUUUGUUGUAAUAAUAAUUCCAUAUUAUAAUAUCAGCUGCCCAUCUCUCUCAGAUAUAUCUGUACCUGUAAACAUCUUACUAUAGAACAAUCUCAUUUGUAUCUCUAGUACAUUUUUUGUUUUUACUUUCUCCCUUUUUUUCCAUGAAUUUUGGGCAUAUUCUGGAGAUAUUCCGAAGGAUUUUAUCCAGGUAAAGACUGGAGUAUAUGAAGGGCAUGUGGAUCCAUGGGGACCUCCUCUAUGCCCUACCCUAGAGGCUCCCCCGUGGGCUACUGGACACAUCCACCUCCUGAACCUUGGUGGCCCUAAGGACCACACUGAAUCCCUCCACCUGCACCACUUGGACAAGAGCCCUUGCUGUUCUACAUUUGCAGACAUGUGGGGAUGCUAGUUUCUUCCCAUAGCAUCCAUUCCUCUCCACCCAAAUCUGACAUUAUGUAUACAAGAGGGCCUGGUCCUUUCCCAGGAUCGCCUUGCAGGCCCUACACCAUGGACCACACUUCAUCACCAGUCAAGGGUUAUGGGCCAUGUCCCCCUCCUCCACCAGCUCCUCCACCUGCUCCAUUUGGAGAAUUUGAAGUUUGAAGAUGACCCUGAACUGUGACAAAUAGGGUGUGGUGAUAUGAUAUAUUUAGAAAAGUUGUCUGAUAUGUAUAUUUGACUAAAUUCUUUCCCUGACCAUUCCUGUCCCCUCUAUUUUGUCUUUCCUGGUUUCCACUAAUAAACUCAUCACAGUUC